rnacentral:rRNA from 1 species
AUUGAACGCCGGCAGCAUGCCUUACACAUGCAAGUCGAACGGUAACAGGUCUUCGGAUGCUGACGAGUGGCGAACGGGUGAGUAAUACAUCGGAACGUGCCUAGUAGUGGGGGAUAACUACUCGAAAGAGUGGCUAAUACCGCAUGAGAUCUACGGAUGAAAGCAGGGGAUCGCAAGACCUUGUGCUACUAGAGCGGCCGAUGGCAGAUUAGGUAGUUGGUGGGAUAAAAGCUUACCAAGCCGACGAUCUGUAGCUGGUCUGAGAGGACGAUCAGCCACACUGGGACUGAGACACGGCCCAGACUCCUACGGGAGGCAGCAGUGGGGAAUUUUGGACAAUGGGCGCAAGCCUGAUCCAGCAAUGCCGCGUGCAGGAUGAAGGCCUUCGGGUUGUAAACUGCUUUUGUACGGAACGAAAAGCCCUGGGUUAAUACCCUGGGGUCAUGACGGUACCGUAAGAAUAAGCACCGGCUAACUACGUGCCAGCCGCCGCAGUAAAAC